AACGAACGCUGGCGGCAUGCCUAACACAUGCAAGUCGAACGAGACCUUCGGGUCUAGUGGCGCACGGGUGCGUAACGCGUGGGAACCUGCCCGUAGGCUCGGAAUAACUCCCCGAAGGGGGGGCUAAUACCGGAUAAUGUCUUCUGAUCAAAGAUUUAUCGCCUUGGGGUGGGCCCGCGUUGGUCUAGCUAGUUGGGAGGGUAAAAGCCGACCAAGGCGGCGAUCCAUCGCUGGGCUGAGGGGAUGGUCAGCCACACUGGGACUGGGACACGGCCCGGACUCCUGCGGGUGGCAGCAGUAGGGACUCUUGGACACUGGGCGAAAGCCUGAUCCCGCCGUGCCGCGUGAGUGAUGAAGGCCUUAAGAUUGUAAAGCUCUUUUACCCGGGAUGAUAAUGCCGGUACCGGGAGAAUAGGCUCCGGCUACCUCCGU
rnacentral:rRNA from 1 species